rnacentral:rRNA from 1 species
GACGAACGCUGGCGGCGUGCUUAACACAUGCAAGUCGAACGGAAAGGCCCUGCUUUUGUGGGGUGCUCGAGUGGCGAACGGGUGAGUAACACGUGAGUAACCUGCCCUUGACUUUGGGAUAACUUCAGGAAACUGGGGCUAAUACCGGAUAGGAGCUCCUGCUGCAUGGUGGGGGUUGGAAAGUUUCGGCGGUUGGGGAUGGACUCGCGGCUUAUCAGCUUGUUGGUGGGGUAGUGGCUUACCAAGGCUUUGACGGGUAGCCGGCCUGAGAGGGUGACCGGCCACAUUGGGACUGAGAGACGGCCCAGACUCCUACGGGAGGCAGCAGUGGGGAAUAUUGCACAAUGGGCGGAAGCCUGAUGCAGCAACGCCGCGUGCGGGAUGACGGCCUUCGGGUUGUAAACCGCUUUCGCCUGUGACGAAGCGUGGGUGACGGUAAUGGGUAAAGAAGCACCGGCUAACUACGUG